rnacentral:rRNA from 1 species
GAGAGGUGCUGCAUGGCUGUCGUCAGCUCGUGUUGUGAAAUGUUGGGUUAAGUCUCGCAACGAGCGCAACCCCUAUCGUCUGUUGCCAGCAUUAAGUUGGGCACUCUGACGAGACUGCCUGGGUUAACCAGGAGGAAGGUGGGGAUGACGUCAAGUCCUCAUGGCCCUUAUGUCUAGGGCUACACACGUAAUACAAUGGCGCGUACAAAGGGAAGCGAACUCGCAAGGGGGAGCAAAUCUCAAAAAGCGCGCCUCAGUUCGGAUUGAAGUCUGCAACUCGACUUCAUGAAGUUGGAAUCGCUAGUA